rnacentral:tRNA from 1 species
GAGUUCGUAGCUCAAUCGGUAGAGCAACUGACUUUUAAUCAGUAGGUCGCUGGUUCGAACCCAGCAGGGCUCACCA